rnacentral:rRNA from 1 species
UACGGAGGGUGCAAGCGUUAUCCGGAUUCACUGGUUUAAAGGGUGCGUAGGCGGGCAGGUAAGUCCGUGGUGAAAUCUCUGAGCUUAACUCAGAAACUGCCAUGGAUACUAUUGUCUUGAAUAUUGUGGAGGUAAGCGGAAUAUGUCAUGUAGCGGUGAAAUGCUUAGAUAUGACAUAGAACACCAAUUGCGAAGGCAGCUUACUACACAGUUAUUGACGCUGAGGCACGAAAGCGUGGGGAUCAAACAGG